CACAUGCAAGUCUCAGCACCCCCGUGAGAACGCCCUUUCCCUGUCGGGCUAAGGGGCUGGUAUUAGGCACAGAUUCUUGCCCAUAACACCUAGUCUUACCACACCUCCAAAGGCAUUCAGCAGUGAUAAAAAUUGUUUAUGAGCGUCAGCUUGAAUCAGUUAUAGAAAAGAGGGCCGGCCAACCCGGUGCCAGCCGCCGCGGCUACACCGUUGGGCUCAAAUUGAUAUUAGUCGGCGUUAAGCGUGAUUAAAGAAAAAUAAAAUUAGAGUUAAAUUUAGACUUAGCUGUGAAAAGCUUGUCCUUUAGAAAUCCAUAGACGAAAGUUACUCUAAUACUAUCUUGAAUACACGACAGUUAGGACACAAACUGAGAUUAGAUAA
rnacentral:rRNA from 1 species